UACGAACUGUGCAAACGUUACUCGGACUUACUGGGCGUAAAGCGUGCGCAGGCGGUCUGUUAAGAGAGAUGUGAAAUCCCCGGGCUUAACCUGGGAACUGCGUUUCUAACUGGCAGGCUUGAGUGUGGCAGAGGGGGGUGGAAUUCCACGUGUAGCAGUGAAAUGCGUAGAGAUGUGGAGGAACACCGAUGGCGAAGGCAGCCCCCUGGGCUAACACUGACGCUCAUGCACGAAAGCGUGGGGAGCAAACAGG
rnacentral:rRNA from 1 species